GACGUAGGGCGCGAGCGUUGUCCGGAUUUAUUGGGCGUAAAGAGCUCGUAGGCGGCUUGUCGCGUCGACUGUGAAAUCCCGCGGCUCAACUGCGGGUCUGCAGUCGAUACGGGCAGGCUAGAGUUCGGUAGGGGAGACUGGAAUUCCUGGUGUAGCGGUGAAAUGCGCAGAUAUCAGGAGGAACACCGAUGGCGAAGGCAGGUCUCUGGGCCGAUACUGACGCUGAGGUGCGAAAGCCAGGGGAGCGAACGGG
rnacentral:rRNA from 1 species